rnacentral:rRNA from 1 species
AACGAACGCUGGCGGCAGGCCUAACACAUGCAAGUCGAGCGAGGACUUCGGUUCUAGCGGCGGACGGGGGAGUAACGCGUGGGAAUGUGCCCUUCUCUACGGAAUAGCCCUGGGAAACUGGGAGUAAUACCGUAUACGCCCUAUUGGGGAAAGAUUUAUCGGAGAAGGAUCAGCCCGCGUUGGAUUAGGUAGUUGGUGGGGUAAUGGCCUACCAAGCCGCCGAUCCAUAGCUGGUUUGAGAGGAUGAUCAGCCACACUGGGACUGAGACACGGCCCAGACUCCUACGGGAGGCAGCAGUGGGGAAUCUUAGACAAUGGGGGCAACCCUGAUCUAGCCAUGCCGCGUGAGUGAUGAAGGCCUUAGGGUUGUAAAGCUCUUUCAGCUGGGAAGAUAAUGACGGUACCAGCAGAAGAAGCCCCGGCUAACUCCGUG